ACACGUAGGGGCCUGACGUUGUUCGGAAUCAUUGGGCGUAAAGGGCGCGCAGGCGGCCGUCCAAGUCCGGUGUUAAAUGGUCGGGCUCAACCCGAUCAUGCGCUGGAAACUGGGCGGCUGGAGUCCCGGAGGGGAUGCCGGAAUUCCAGGUGUAGGGGUGAAAUCUGUAGAUAUCUGGAAGAACACCGAUGGCGAAGGCAGGCAUCUGGCCGGAGACUGACGCUGAGGCGCGAAGGCGCGGGGAGCGAACAGGUUUAGAUACCCUGGUAGUCCGCGCAGUAAACGAUGCGCACCAGGUGUCGGGCGGCAGCGCCCGGUACCGGAGCUAACGCGAUGAGUGCGCCGCCUGGGGAGUAUGCCCGCAAGGGUGAAACUCAAAUGAAUUGGCGGGG
rnacentral:rRNA from 1 species